rnacentral:lncRNA from 1 species
UUAAGCUCUCGUAUCGUAGUAGUAGUAUGUAGGUUGUCGAGUGCUGCUAUUUUUUUUUUGGAGGAACUGGGUGCUGCUAUGUUUUUGUACGGUCCUGAUUGUACAUCGAGGGAUGUAGUGUGGUGAUCCGUGCUGUAAAAUUUUGUCAUGUUUACGGAAAAGGGUCUAAGUUUAUCCUUUUUCUUAACUUCAUGUUCUAUCCUUUUCAGUCACAUGCUUCAGUUGCUGAAGAAAAUAAAAGAGCACCACUGCUGAGGGAGGUGCGGUGACCCGUGCUGUCUGUCCAGUAACUCUUUUCCUGGGUCAUUAAUUUUCAAUCAUAUUUGCAGAGAAUGAUUUUCAACUUUUUUGAUUUUUUAAAGAUAUGUGUUGGUUUUUUGGGGGGAAAUGAUUCAAAUCACCCGAACGAUGCGUGCGCCCACCGGCUUUGUGGCUGUCGUAUUUGAUUUUUAUCAUAUGACUCUCGGGAGCAACGUAUUACCUAGUUUAGAUUUUGCAACUGGGCCUUUGUUGCAAUCUUCCCCACCACAAUAAGUAAUGUGGUGUGGGAUCUGGAUCUGGAUCCUCUUGUGAGCAGUCACCUUCCGUGCUCUCUUGAGCUUCUCGUGAAGCCGAUGCCUCCAUGCGCUGCUCCGACCGCCGCCGCCGGUAGCACGUCGACGAGAUCUCCUCUCCCUGUCUCCAUGUGUCUGCAACCAGUGGCCAUGGCCGCUCGAGCACGCCAGAGCUUCACUCCGGGCUGUCGCCCAACUAUGAUGCUCGGCCCCCAUGUUGCAUCGCCUCCACCAUCACCUUUAUUGCAUACGCAAAACACCCCUUCUCCCUUCCCCAACCAGAGAAGCCCCGGCUCGAGGCCAUGACUGCAAGCAAUGCAACGUAGUGACUUUCUGCAACAAGACAUUUGUUGUAAAAAAAAAUUACAAUAAGAGCUCGGUUGCAAAAAAAAAGAAAAAAAUCUUAAAAAUAUUCUACAACAAGAGCUCGGUUGAAAAAAAAAUUCAAAAAAAAUUUCACAACAAGACCUCUGCAACACAAUCUUUCUUACAAAAUUUUCUGCAACAAGAUUUGUGUUGCAAAAGGGUUCUCACAACACGACUUCUGUUGCAAAAGUACAAGGACGCUUGACCGGGAGUUGCGUCAGAUCGGACGGCUCGGCGGAGGCCGACACGUAGCACGACCAUUUUGUUUGAGCGGUAGAUCUUUGUGUUGCUUUUUUUCUUUUAUUAGUGGUAGAUCUUUGUGUUGGUCUUCAUCCUUUUUGGUCAUGCUGCUUCCGUUGAAGGAGGAAGCUUCAGCGCUGAGGCAACAAUAGCCCAGUCCCGAGCCCACGCGUGGCCCAUGCCUAAAACCAGACUUGUGUGGCGUACAAAGUUACGAACAGUCCCGCACGCUCACGGCAGCCGCCCCCGCCCGCAUGGUUUCGCUUGGAGGAAAAGGGAAGGAAGAGCACACGCUCGCUCCAGAUAGAAAAAGAUCAGCGCCGCGCUCUCCAUCUCCAGUCUCCUCUCCACUGCCCCGCCCCGUCUCGGUCUCACUCCGCGGCAACCUGCCAACAAAAUCUCCGGACCCCAAACAGCGGACGGAAUCCCAGUAGAGCCCUUCUCCCCUCCUCGUCCUCCGCCGCCCCCCUCUCCGCGCGCGCCACCAUGUCGUCGGCGUGGGCCGACGCGGCGCUGCUCCUCGCCUCCCCGUCCCCCUCCUGCUCCCCCCUCGCCAGGCCGCGCUACGGGCGCCUCCGCAAGGUACGCCUCCUCCUCGCCCGCCUCCCGACGGCGCCCCUGUCGCCCGUUUCCUAGUCCCAGGCACUGAAGCGGGAUCCAACUCGUGGUUGCCGGAUGGCCUGACGCUCGACCGGUUGUCCCUGUACCCCUGCGUACAUUUGCUUUGCUUUGCUUCUGUGAGCUGUAACCGCGCAUCUGAGCAGCGCCGCGCCGAGGUUCGUGUGCUGUCGGCAGCGUGUUGCGUCAGGGGUAACGACUUGGCUGACGCGCUUGCUCAUGCACAAUAGGCUGUGGCGUUUAGUUGUUGGCUUGCUUGGGUCUAGCUCCCACGGCAGGGCACGUCAUGCGUGUUAGUUUGGUUAAUCUUCAUCUACAAUUCAGACUUAGUCUAGCGGAAAUGGCACCAAUACGUGCGUGGUGAAACUCUGAACAAGAAGCAUGCCUGAAUUUGCUUUUGUUCCUGAAAAAAAACUCACGGAAUUGUUAUGUGCUCCCUCCGUUCACAAACAUAACAUGUUUUGGAUAUCUCAAUAUGGACUACAUACGGAUUGGAAUGAGUGAUCAAACACACUAAAACGUGCCUAUAUACAUCUGAUUUGGAAAAAGGUUAGAACAUCUUAUAUCUGUGAACGGAGGGAGUAGCUGCCUGCCUAGAGUGCCAUAGCAUUCGAUAUGAUGUAUUGCAAUUUGUUUUAAUUGUUCAUGAUGCCUAUAGGAAUUGUUUUUAAUUGUUCAUGAACGCAACAUUAACUCUUUUCAUUUAUUUAUUUACAAGCGUUUCUAUAAUUUCACAUUAUCUAUACUCUAUGCACCUGGUUUCGACAAGUAUUCUGGUGCUCCUGUUAUGCUCAACUGCUCACAUCUGAUGCGUUUGCUAAGGGUUGAUUGUGCCCAACACUUAAAGUGAUCUGAAAUUUUUAUUUCGCAUUGCGUGGUGACCGAUGGUCAUUGAAUUUUGUCUUAUCUUUUGCUCUCAAACUGUUCUGCUCAACUCGUGUAUUUUCAGUUAAUAUCUUUAUUUUACCCGUGCUGCAUUUGCAUUUCAAUGUCAAGUCUCUAAACGUCCUAUAUAUUAGUUUAAAGAGGAAGUAAUUCCUUAGCUGAAUGGGAAAUACCAUGAUAUUAUAUUGGAGUUUAACAUCUCCCCGUUCAAGUUUCAAUUGCUUUUUUGGGUCAACUGGAUGAUGUUUCUUUGUUUCACAGGGCUUUCCUUGUACCACUCGUUCUAAAGCUGGAUUCCAAAUCAAUCAUUACCAAGCAAGGAGCUUAAAGGUUGAAGCAAAGAUGGAUUCUGGUGAUGGCGAGACACAACUCGCUCCAGUUAAAUUCGAAACCCCAAGUGGUCAACUUCUGGCGCAGAUACUGCAAUCGCAGCCUCACCUAAUCCCUGUAACAGUUGAUCAGCAACUUGAAAACCUGACAGCAGAGAAAAUUGCCCAAAAGGAAAAGGCAGCAAAAGUUCCCGAGGACCUCCUUUACAAGUAAGUACCAAUAAUUAUAGGAAUUGUUUUCCCCACAUCAGCAACAAAUAGUGACGCGUCAUAUCUGCUAUAAAACAUGCUGCUAUGUAAAUGUUGUAGAAAGGAGAAGACAUUAGAUAUUCUAUUUGACUCAUAUCAGUUAAUAAUGCAUCAGUUAACGAAUUAUGCUAAUUGAACUACAGGCGAAUUGCAGAAGUCAAAGAGAAGGAAAGGCAGAAUACCCUGGAAGAGAUCAUCUACUGCUGGAUUUUGUUCAAGUUCAUGGAAAAUGACAUACAAAUGACACCUGCAUUAUCAUCAUCAGGUGGCCCUGUACGCGAUGUCUCCUCGUUGCCUAACCAGGAGUAUAAGCUGCAAAGCAUACACUCUCAAGACGCUCUUGAGAUGAUACAGAACCAUCUCAACCUUAUCAUGGGGGAGCAGGCAGCGGCGCCACUAGAUACCGUUGUUGAGAUCAGCAACUUAAAUCUCGGGAAGCUCUACGCAGCAUCCAUCAUGUAUGGUUACUUCCUCAAGAGGGUGGACGAGCGAUUCCAACUCGAGAAAACCAUGAAGACACUCCCGCCAAGCCUCAACGAAAAACUAUUUACGGAGAGAGACAUUAAGCCUAAUCCAUUCAUGGACAUGGAGUCCCUGGUACGGAUGACGCCUGAUGGGGAGAUGGCUGAUGUGGAGGAGGACGAGGAAACGAACCCAAACAAGUUGAGGUCCUACGUUUCGCGGCUGGACGCCGAUACGUUGCAACGGUACGCUACCAUCAGGUCCAAGGAAUCGGUCUCGCUGAUAGAGAAGCAAACGCAGGCUCUGUUUGGGCGGCCGGAUAUCAAAGUGCUGGAUGAUGGCUCUGUUAAUGCUAAAGAUGGUAAAACCGUAACGCUUACGUUUACAGAGCUCACGCACCUUGUCCUGGAGGCGGCUGGUUUUGGGGCCUUUUUGUGGGAGGCUGAGAGCCAUGUAGAAUCCAAAUACCAUUUUGUUAACAGUUGAUUGUGCGUUUUGUUAAUCUGGAAAUGGGUUUCUGUGAAUUUGAUAGGGUAGGAUCCAGUCCAUCUCUGGUAUGCCUUUUCAGUGUAGCUGAUGCUCUUGCUCUUGUUUGCUCUCUAUCAGCAGCAGCCAAGGGGCACGAAUCAAACCAUCACUGUCCAUGGCUGAUGGCUCCAUGGCCCCUCAGUCACAGAUCAGAUUGUAAUUUAACAGAGGAAUGGAAAAUGUUUCUUCCUAUGAUAUACUCCUCCGUCCCAAAUUACUUGUUUUAUUAGAUAUAUAUGUCCCUCCUAUCCAUAUUACAUCUGUAUCCAGACAAAUCUAAGACAAGUACCCCCUCCGUCCGGAAAUACUUGUCCUAGUAUUAUUCUCUUUACAACAGUUGUACUCCGUAUCUAUACCAAUAUAAAAAGACCCAAAGGGGCAGAUCCAAACCAUCUCGACCGUCAAAUCAUGUUAUCUAGCGGUUUAAAUCGCUCCAAUGUUGAGCACCAAACACGUUUAACGCUCUAAUUACCCACCACUGCCAUUGGUUAUAAACACGUUUUGACUACACGCUAUCCCAUGAAAUCUGCUAUGUAAUUAAUAUCCUACCAUUUCCGCGAAAAAAGUAAUGUUAUCUUACCAAAUACCAACGUGCAACAGAUAUAUCCUACCUAAUAUAACGUGCAACUAAUAUCCUACCUAAUAUAAACGUGCAUUGCACGUAUAUUAUUACUAGUAUACUGCUAGUAAAAAAAGCCUUUUUUAGUUUUUGCGUCUUUGUCUCCAGCUUUCUGUGCACCUUUCAUUCCCAACUUGUCCCUGGCGAUUGCUUAUGAACGGGACAUCCUAAUCGUCGCUUCAGGCACAAGUUUAGGUAGGAACCUGGCGCUCACGCAGCUGCUGUCAUGGGCCCAACAAGCGCUGCUGGCUGCUUCGUUCGCUCAGGCACGCCCAAGUGGGCCGCGGCUGUUUUUUGUAUUGUUGAUCUUGUAAAAAAUAAUCAGAAGGUUUUUUAGUACUUACGAAAAAAAUUGUAAAAUUAAAAAGGGUUUACAGAUUUUAAAAAUAGCCAUCCAUUUGAAAAACAAUUAUCGGUCUUGUAAAAAAGUUCAUCAAUUUUUAAAAAAGUUUAAAAAAUCGACAUAAGUUCAUUGAUUUUAAAAAAAGUUAAUCGAUUUUGGUAAAAAGUUCAUCGAUUUUCAACAAAAGGUUCAUCGGUCUUAAAAAAAGGCCAUUGAUUUUGAAAACAAUUCUUGUUUUUUUAUAAAAACUUCAUGGAUUUUGAAAAAAGAUCACAAAUUUAAUAAAACGGAAAAAGAAAAAGGAAAUAAAAAUAAAAGGAAAAACUGAAUAAAAGCAUCCAGAAACCAGUUAAAAAAACUAAUCAGAACUUCGAGAAAGCUCGUCGGAAGCUUCUAGAAGCUUCACAAAACCGAUUGAGUUUCUUCCUGAAAAAACAAAUGUCCAGGUGAGAAAGUAAAAGAAAGAAAACCUCUUUUUGGUGCUACUAUUUUUUUGCAUGGUAAUAAGUGUCUCAUUAAUAAAAUAAUGAUUCAAUUACAAGCCAUGUAAACACCAAUAUUACAGGGCUGAAAAGAUAGAAUAAUCCUACGCAAAAAGACUACCCUCUGCCCCUCUCCACCAAGGAAAAGGAGACAGAUCACCUCUUCACCCGAGCUUGAUGCGGCUCCAUCACUGAUUUGUAGCUUUACGAGCCUCCAAGAUAGUUUGCCUGAAGCAAAACCACUACCGUUGAAAGAAUCAGACCGGGGCAACGUGUCCCCGGACACACCAUCGAACUCUAGAACUAACACCCCCGGACGACUACGACUUCGGAGAAGGAAACCAGAACUGUCAGCCUCCAACCACCAACCCAACACUAGAUGCACCUUCUUCCCACUGUUACCUGCGUAGACAACCGUCUGCGCGUACUCCCGGACGACAGAACCUCACUGGUCCACCGCGACGCCGGAGACAAUGCUGCAGCAACAGGGGUAGAGCAGAAGAACAGACACACCUGAAGGGGUCGCCGCCGCCGCCUCGCUGACACCAUCCAUGAACACCAAUGUCACCGAUCCGAAGGAUCGGCAAACAUACGAUGCCAUCAACUCUGAGACGCCGCCAUGAAGGACAUCGACGGUGUGGGAGUGGAGCUGAGGCAGAUUUACUCGUCCGGGCGCCGCUCCCACCACCUCAACGGCGCACCACGACCUACAAAACCAAACCCUAACUACAGAGCGGAGGAACGGCCCCCUCCCUUCUCCUGCCGGAGCAGCAGUCGGAGGGAGAGGGGACCAGCUCUGGUUCGUGUAGAUCAGAGGUAGAGGAUUUGCCGCACAACGAAAAGAAGAUGAAAAAGUAAAUACACACCAAAGGCGAGCUAUCCAGGUUGGUUAUACCGGUUACUGCUGAAGCGUGAUGUUUGGAGUUCGGUCCUCAACUUAGGCAGAAUUUUUGAAGUUUGCAGAAACAAAAAAAAAA